UAAAGACAGCAUGUAUUUGUUGGGUGCACAAGUAUGAAAAGUAUGUUUGAACGCGUUGACGUGGUUUAUAACAGCUGUAAGGAAGUGGGAAGAACUGGACCUUGAUUGCUGUGUGUUAGAAAGCUCGUAAAACACAAGGCUUUAAAACUUAAGCAUGUUUCAUACGCUGUGUGUGGUAUAAAUGGAAUAAGUUAAAUCCUGUGAGGGAAAGCGAAAAAGGGCUGUAAGAGUGUGUGUUUGUUAUGGAUCUGCCGUUUUCAGGUUUGGAGUUGGUUUUCAUCGUCAUUGCUUUCACUGUCAUGUGCUUAUUUGCCCUGGUUGCUAUCUACAGACAUCAUCGAAAUGAUCAAGAUGAUAUUCAGACAGAGCUGAGGAUUACACAUCGGAAGAAAAAAUCAAAGAAAAAACAACCUUGCAACAAAAUCAUUAUAGACGUACCAUGAACAUACUAACACACAUCUGAGUGCAGUUGACCGGAGGAUUUUCGGAUGAGAUGCAAAGCAACAGGCAGGCCAAGAGUGUGACGUGUCAUACACUCUCCGAAAAAGUUAUAAAAGCUGUCAUUGGGGCAGUACCCUUUCAAAAAGUACACCUUUGUGCCUAAAGGGUGUGUAUUACUACCUCAAAGAUACAUAUAGUGUUAAAAAAAUAAUACACAUUUGUACCGAACUGGUACUUAUUGUUACAUUUUUAAAAGGGUAUAUGGUCCCAAUGACAGCUUUUGUAUAUCUUUCUUUCUGACAGUGUGGUUUUGCAGAGGCCAUUUGUGAAGAUGCUGGAGCUUUGAAUUCAGUGUUAAAUCAAAUCAGAUUUAAAAUAUUUUAUUAUGUAUUUUUAAUAUUUUAGUGCAGUUUUCGUGUUUUUAUUGCUGCUAGACUGUGGGUGAGAAUGUAUUAAAUUAACAUUCGUAUUUAUUGUAUUAUUACAUAUUAGAAAAUGUACAAAUGUGAAAAUGUUUUUCUUCAAUUUGUUUAUAUACGAGUGCUGUCUUUAAUUUCCCAAAAGCAGACCAAUCAGAAGAAAGAAGUCAAGGAUGCCUCUGAUCGCUUUGGUUAAAAACAUUCUUAAAAAUAUCUUCCUUUGUUGUAGUCAGAACAAAGAAAUGUAUACAG